rnacentral:rRNA from 1 species
AUGUUCUAACGUUGACCCGUAAUCCGGGUUGCGGACAGUGUCUGGUGGGUAGUUUGACUGGGGCGGUCUCCUCCUAAAGAGUAACGGAGGAGCACGAAGGUUGGCUAAUCCUGGUCGGACAUCAGGAGGUUAGUGCAAUGGCAUAAGCCAGCUUGACUGCGAGCGUGACGGCGCGAGCAGGUGCGAAAGCAGGUCAUAGUGAUCCGGUGGUUCUGAAUGGAAGGGCCAUCGCUCAACGGAUAAAAGGUACUCCGGGGAUAACAGGCUGAUACCGCCCAAGAGUUCAUAUCGACGGCGGUGUUUGGCACCUCGAUGUCGGCUCAUCACAUCCUGGGGCUGAAGUAGGUCCCAAGGGUAUGGCUGUUCGCCAUUUAAAGUGGUACGCGAGCUGGGUUUAGAACGUCGUGAGACAGUUCGGUCCCUA